rnacentral:rRNA from 1 species
CCUACGGGAGGCAGCAGUGGGGAAUAUUGCUCAAUGGGCGAAAGCCUGACCCAGCGACGCCGCGUGAGGGAUGAAGGUCUUCGGAUCUGUAACCUCUGUCAGCAGGGAAGAACGGUCACUGUGCUAAUCAGCAGUGAAUUGACGGUACCUGCAAAGGAAGCACCGGCUAACUCCGUGCCAGGAGCAGCGGUAAUACGGAGGGUGCGUGCGUUAAUCGGAAUGACUGGGCGUAAAGCGCUCGUAGGCGGUAUGUCAAGUCAAGGGUGAAAUCCCCGCGCUCAACGUGGGAACUGCCUUUGAAACUGGCAAACUGGAGUGUGUGAGAGGAUAGUGGAAUUCCAGGUGUAGGAGUGAAAUCCGUAGAUAUCUGGAGGAACAUCAGUGGCGAAGGCGACUAUCUGGCACCUAACUGACGCUGAGGAGCGAAAGCGUGGGUAGCAAACAGGAUUAGAUACCCCGGUAGUC